ACACAGGUUUAAAUUGGGCUGGGU
rnacentral:siRNA from 1 species